rnacentral:rRNA from 1 species
AUUGAACGCUGGCGGCAGGCCUAACACAUGCAAGUCGAACGAGCGGCGGACGGGUGAGUAAUGUCUGGGGAACUGCCUGAUGGCGGGGGAUAACUACUGGAAACGGUGGCUAAUACCGCAUACUAUCGGCUGACCCCAGAUGGGAUUAGCUAGUAGGUGGGGUAAAGGCUCACCUAGGCGACGAUCCCUAGCUGGUCUGAGAGGAUGAUCAGCCACACUGGGACUGAGAAACGGCCCAGACUCCUACGGGAGGCAGCAGUGGGGAAUAUUGCACAAUGGGCGCAAGCCUGAUGCAGCCAUGCCGCGUGUAUGAAGAAGGCCUUAGGGUUGUAAAGUACUUUCAGCGGGGAGGCGUUACCCGCAGAAGAAGCACCGGCUAACUCCGUGCCAGCAGCCGCGGUAAUUC